GGCGGCACCUCGCAAUUGUUUGGCCUGGCUUGAGGGAGCUGGAGAGGCAGUCAACUUUUUCAUUUCCAUGUUUUCCGACUGCACUUUCUGCCAUCGCUGUUGCUCGUCUUAUUGUGUUCUGUAUUUAAUGAAUAAUUUUUAAUAGUUUGAUAUUGCUGCAAGCUGCAUCUUGAGGAAAGACGGGGGACAGCAGCCAUUUCCGUCGUGCAGGUGGAUUAAUUUGCAG
rnacentral:lncRNA from 1 species